AGAACAUCUCGUAGGGCGCGAGAUGGGUAAAAUAAAAAAUGCCCACCGAGA
rnacentral:sRNA from 12 species